AUUGAACGCUGGCGGAAUGCUUUACACAUGCAAGUCGAACGGUAGAGGGGGCAACCCCUCGAGAGUGGCGAACGGGUGAGUAAUAUAUCGGAACGUGCCCAGUCGUGGGGGAUAACGUAGCGAAAGUUACGCUAAUACCGCAUACGAUCGAAGGAUGAAAGCGGGGGAUGGCAAGACCUCGCGCGAUUGGAGCGGCCGAUAUCAGAUUAGGUAGUUGGUGGGGUAAAGGCUCACCAAGCCAACGAUCGGUAGCUGGUCUGAGAGGACGACCAGCCACACUGGAACUGAGACACGGUCCAGACUCCUACGGGAGGCAGCAGUGGGGAAUUUUGGACAAUGGACGCAAGUCUGAUCCAGCCAUUCCGCGUGCAGGAUGAAGGCCCUCGGGUUGUAAACUGCUUUUGUACGGAACGAAAAGGUCUCUCUUAAUACGGGGGACUCAUGACGGUACCGUAAGAAUAAGCACCGGCUAACUACGUGCCAGCCGCCGCCGUAAUAC
rnacentral:rRNA from 1 species